rnacentral:lncRNA from 1 species
AUGAUGCAAUCGUUGAGCGGCGGAGGACGAAGCGCGCCUCCGGUGACGCGUUACUGUUACAGUCAGUGCAGCAUUCAUAACGUCAGCUCAGGGAGCGCGUCUCGUUUGCACAUCGCAGAUGUGUGUGUUUGUAAAGAAGCGCUUUGUACUUUAAAUAGAGUCAAAAAGACUGAAGAGGAGUCUUUUCCUCAAACUGAACUCAGACCUGUUUUCUGUUCACAUGCAGCAUGUAAACAGCUGCAGACUGAUCCCAGUCUCCAAUUGGAUUCAAAUGCGUGUCUUUGUUCUUCUCCAUCUCCUCCUGUUUCUCCACAGUUGAACCACUGGAAUAAACAGACGCUCCACCCGAGUGACGCUUCCUGCGUGGCUGCUGUUGUCUGGCGCGACACGCGAUGUGAAGUUAGGUGCGGGGCCACGCGGAGGAGCAGCUGGACCACGUGGCGUCACCUGAGACCCUCAGCAUCCAGCGCCACGCACACACACGCACACACACGCACCGCCGCCACUCACCUCCACGCCACGGUCCGGACGCCAGCCGCGGGGGGUCCUCUCCGUCCCGUGCUCCGUCGCUCUCGCUCGCUCGCUCGGCUUCGCCGGGACGCCGGUUCCGACGCGAUCCGGAACGUCAGCCCCGAGCAGCGGAGCGGGCGCCGCUGGAAAAACCUGCAGCGGCUGAUGCGCCUCGCGGUUCCGCUCGCCGCGUCACGCUUCGCCCGCGCUCUCGCAGGGACAAACUCGGGCCGUUCCACGGAGGCUGGUUCCGUCCGGUUCCGUCACAGCCGCUGUGGACAGGAGCACGUCCCCGCGGUGCCUCGGCUCUCGACGCGGAGCUCCGCUCUGCCGUUCGCUGCGCUCCUCGCGGCAGCGGCGAACAGGAGGGCGGCGCGAGCGGAUUGGUGCGCUCCAGCGGCGCGCGCGCGUGCGUGCGCGCGUGCGUGCGUGGCGCGGGCGGUCAGAUCCCAGGAUUCACCUGUCACCGCAAGACGAAGUGCGUCCUACUUAAAAUCCAAGCGAAGAUGA